AGUCGAGCGGUAGCACAGAGAGCUUGCUCUCGGGUGACGAGCGGCGGACGGGUGAGUAAUGUCUGGGAAACUGCCUGAUGGAGGGGGAUAACUACUGGAAACGGUAGCUAAUACCGCAUAACGUCGCAAGACCAAAGUGGGGGACCUUCGGGCCUCAUGCCAUCAGAUGUGCCCAGAUGGGAUUAGCUAGUAGGUGGGGUAACGGCUCACCUAGGCGACGAUCCCUAGCUGGUCUGAGAGGAUGACCAGCCACACUGGAACUGAGACACGGUCCAGACUCCUACGGGAGGCAGCAGUGGGGAAUAUUGCACAAUGGGCGCAAGCCUGAUGCAGCCAUGCCGCGUGUAUGAAGAAGGCCUUCGGGUUGUAAAGUACUUUCAGCGGGGAGGAAGGCGAUAAGGUUAAUAACCUUGUCGAUUGACGUUACCCGCAGAAGAAGCACCGGCUAACUCCGUGCCAGCAGCCGCGGUAAUACGGAGGGUGCAAGCGUUAAUCGGAAUUACUGGGCGUAAAGCGCACGCAGGCGGUCUGUCAAGUCGGAUGUGAAAUCCCCGGGCUCAACCUGGGAACUGCAUUCGAAACUGGCAGGCUAGAGUCUUGUAGAGGGGGGUAGAAUUCCAGGUGUAGCGGUGAAAUGCGUAGAGAUCUGGAGGAAUACCGGUGGCGAAGGCGGCCCCCUGGACAAAGACUGACGCUCAGGUGCGAAAGCGUGGGGAGCAAACAGGAUUAGAUACCCUGGUAGUCCACGCCGUAAACGAUGUCGAUUUGGAGGUUGUGCCCUUGAGGCGUGGCUUCCGGAGCUAACGCGUUAAAUCGACCGCCUGGGGAGUACGGCCGCAAGGUUAAAACUCAAAUGAAUUGACGGGGGCCCGCACAAGCGGUGGAGCAUGUGGUUUAAUUCGAUGCAACGCGAAGAACCUUACCUGGUCUUGACAUCCACAGAACUUAGCAGAGAUGCUUUGGUGCCUUCGGGAACUGUGAGACAGGUGCUGCAUGGCUGUCGUCAGCUCGUGUUGUGAAAUGUUGGGUUAAGUCCCGCAACGAGCGCAACCCUUAUCCUUUGUUGCCAGCGGUUAGGCCGGGAACUCAAAGGAGACUGCCAGUGAUAAACUGGAGGAAGGUGGGGAUGACGUCAAGUCAUCAUGGCCCUUACGACCAGGGCUACACACGUGCUACAAUGGCAUAUACAAAGAGAAGCGACCUCGCGAGAGCAAGCGGACCUCAUAAAGUAUGUCGUAGUCCGGAUUGGAGUCUGCAACUCGACUCCAUGAAGUCGGAAUCGCUAGUAAUCGUAGAUCAGAAUGCUACGGUGAAUACGUUCCCGGGCCUUGUACACACCGCCCGUCACACCAUGGGAGUGGGUUGCAAAAGAAGUAGGUAGCUUAACCUUCGGGAGGGCGCUU
rnacentral:rRNA from 1 species